rnacentral:rRNA from 1 species
AUGAACGCUAGCUACAGGCUUAACACAUGCAAGUCGAGGGGCAGCAUGGUCUUAGCUUGCUAAGGCCGAUGGCGACCGGCGCACGGGUGAGUAACACGUAUCCAACCUGCCGUCUACUCUUGGACAGCCUUCUGAAAGGAAGAUUAAUACAAGAUGGCAUCAUGAGUCCGCAUGUUCACAUGAUUAAAGGUAUUCCGGUAGACGAUGGGGAUGCGUUCCAUUAGAUAGUAGGCGGGGUAACGGCCCACCUAGUCUUCGAUGGAUAGGGGUUCUGAGAGGAAGGUCCCCCACAUUGGAACUGAGACACGGUCCAAACUCCUACGGGAGGCAGCAGUGAGGAAUAUUGGUCAAUGGGCGAGAGCCUGAACCAGCCAAGUAGCGUGAAGGAUGACUGCCCUAUGGGUUGUAAACUUCUUUUAUAAAGGAAUAAAGUCGGGUUUGGAUACCCGUUUGCAUGUACUUUAUGAAUAAGGAUCGGCUAACUCCGUGCCAGCAGCCGCGGUAAUACGGAGGAUUCGAGCGUUAUCCGGAUUUAUUGGGUUUAAAGGGAGCGUAGAUGGAUGUUUAAGUCAGUUGUGAAAGUUUGCGGCUCAACCGUAAAAUUGCAGUUGAUACUGGAUAUCUUGAGUGCAGUUGAGGCAGGCGGAAUUCGUGGUGUAGCGGUGAAAUGCUUAGAUAUCACGAAGAACUCCGAUUGCGAAGGCAGCCUGCUAAGCUGCAACUGACAUUGAGGCUCGAAAGUGUGGGUAUCAAACAGGAUUAGAUACCCUGGUAGUCCACACGGUAAACGAUGAAUACUCGCUGUUUGCGAUAUACGGCAAGCGGCCAAGCGAAAGCGUUAAGUAUUCCACCUGGGGAGUACGCCGGCAACGGUGAAACUCAAAGGAAUUGACGGGGGCCCGCACAAGCGGAGGAACAUGUGGUUUAAUUCGAUGAUACGCGAGGAACCUUACCCGGGCUUAAAUUGCAGAUGAAUUACGGUGAAAGCCGUAAGCCGCAAGGCAUCUGUGAAGGUGCUGCAUGGUUGUCGUCAGCUCGUGCCGUGAGGUGUCGGCUUAAGUGCCAUAACGAGCGCAACCCUUGUUGUCAGUUACUAACAGGUUCCGCUGAGGACUCUGACAAGACUGCCAUCGUAAGAUGUGAGGAAGGUGGGGAUGACGUCAAAUCAGCACGGCCCUUACGUCCGGGGCUACACACGUGUUACAAUGGGGGGUACAGAGGGCCGCUACCACGCGAGUGGAUGCCAAUCCCCAAAACCUCUCUCAGUUCGGACUGGAGUCUGCAACCCGACUCCACGAAGCUGGAUUCGCUAGUAAUCGCGCAUCAGCCACGGCGCGGUGAAUACGUUCCCGGGCCUUGUACACACCGCCCGUCAAGCCAUGGGAGCCGGGGGUACCUGAAGUGCGUAACCGCGAGGAGCGCCCUAGGGUAAAACUGGUGACUGGGGCU